UUUUUGCUCCUUAACCAGUAAACAAAAUUUAUUUCACACAUUUUAUUAGUCCUAAGUCUUGGGAGGGGUGGCAGAGUGGAGGGGAAAAGUGUCGGUGAAGGUUUGAAGCUAGUGGUAUUGACAAAUGCCUAAAGUGUUGGUGAUAUUGGUGAAGUCAGGUGUACUAUACCCCGGAGUUCGAAUCCUGAAUUGUACUUUUUCUUGCUGAGCAUAAAGCUCCCAGAAUAAUACUGUAGCAAGCCCGCCUGUCUCCAGAUAGAUCUUACACACAGAUGUUUCUUCAUAUCCCUCUCAGUAUAAGCUGUUGGGCAUCUCACUGUACCAGGAAGUCGCCAUGCCUGUAGAUCCAAUCUCUAUGCUAUAGGAGAUAGGUAUAGUGAGAGAAACCAAAAUACGACUCAUUCUGACCAGAAGAAGGCGAAACAUAGCAACUAAGUAGAAAAGAACAAUUAGAAGAAGGGUGGGAAGAGUGUCCUAGGAGAGUAAGGGUUCAGAAACCUGUAAUUAUUUUGGAGUUCUGAUUCUAUUCUGCUUGAUUAGGUAUAGAAUGCAUGAAGGGAUAUAGAGAAAUUAAUUCACUCCUCCCCGCAAACAACCACCACUACCACCAACACCAACACCAACAGUACCAACAACAAAACCCCACAGGUUUUUGGUAAUAGUCAACAGGGUAAAGUAGUACAUCAGGAUGCUGCUGGUGAUAAUUAGUAACCCUUUCUAUCCCUCCUGCUUCUGUUCAGUUCCUAUGAUGGGCACUCACAUGCCAAUGGCUGGAGACAUGAAUGGACUCAGCCCUACCCAAGCUCUCCCUCCUCCACUCUCCAUGCCCUCCACCUCCCACUGCACCCCACCACCGCCCUACCCCACAGACUGCAGCAUUGUCAGGUGAGUGCACAGCACGUGCCCCCGGGGUCGGUCCUAAGUCUCUGUGGGUGGAGAGUAGACAACUGGCAAGAUCGAUGCAAUAGUUGAGAAGAGAGAAUGCUGUCUUGUGGUUGAAGGAAGACGAGUCUGAUUGGUAGGGUGGUCAGCAGAGCUCUAUCAAAAACUACAACCACUGUGGGGAAAGUGGAAGCAUACGCACACAGGUUUCAGACCUGUUUCUUUGUCUUCAGUUAUUCCCUUCUCUUGCCUCCUGUUCUUACAGGGCUAUUGUGGCUCCUGAAUUGGUGCUCAGGGCUGGGCUUCCCAGAGGGAUAUAAACUGGCUCUGCUGCUCCCUUUUCUGCUCUCUGGGCCUCGAAGCUCUUGGCCACCAUGGGACCAUACUUUUGGAGUUGGAUGUCUAUAAAAAGUUUUAAUAUUAGCAAAAAAAUAAAUGUGAAAUUUAAAGAAGCCUCUGCUACUCUGCUAUGAAAUGGGGACACUCUGGAAAAGGGGCUGUCAUAUGGAUAGAAGCUAACCAGGACUAAAAGGUGUUUCUUACAGAGGCACAUGUAGCCCCACAGUUUAUGUUUAGUGUAUGUCUCCUGGUUCAAGGGAAGCAUGCUUUAUCCCUUUGGCUGCUGGUAGAGUACGUUUUGCCCAUGUGCAACUUUAGCCCCCAGAGACUGUGUAGUACCUGGUUUAGCUCUACAGAAAUUGGCCCUGGGAUGGUAGUGACAUCCAGUCACAGGCCAGCAUU
rnacentral:lncRNA from 1 species